UGCGGAGGAAUGGAGCUGUGCUCGUUGCUAGACGUGGUGGCUGUCUAUAUUUCUCUCUCCAUUUCUCUCUCUCUCGUUGUAGUCUGCGGUGGACCUGCUGGAGUGAAAGGAAAAUCCUAUGGGUAGAAGGAACCUUGGUCUAAACAGCACUUUUGAAGGAGUAAAGCAGGAAGAAAAUCGACCUUGUUGUACAACGUAAACAAAGGCUAUCCGCUGUGAGUAUACAUUUUGGUGUGGAGCAACUUGCAGAAAUUAACCUGUGUAAUCGUUGGAAACCUCCAGGAGAAGGAGGGCGGCCCUACCCCUAAAACAGCGUGGUGGGCGAGCCGUUAGGAGCGUCAAUCCAAGCAGCCACAGCAACGAAACAUUAUUCUGGUCGUAUUUCCAUCGCCCUUAUUUCAGCCCAAGUGAAGUGGAGGACGCCGGGCGUUUCCUUUGUGUGUACACUUAUAGUGUGGUGAGUGAGACUUUGCAAUUAAUAAGCUUUUCACGUUGGAGUGGUGCUGUGUAUUUGCUGUGGGUUGCUGUGUGUCUUGUCAGACGAAGCCCCGCAUCAUCCAUUCUUCUACUGGGCAGAGGACGGAGAGGCUAACGACCUCAGAAUUUACAGCUACCAUACGCAGUGUGCUGUUUUGGAGUGUGAAGGGACGCAGAUCAAGAGCUGUCAGUGACUCGACCACCUGUGGAGAGAAAGGAGAACGAGAGUGAAUAAUUGGAGAACAGACUGUGUAACGUGAUACCUACCCAGAGAGCUGUAAACAGCAGAGCCGGUGAGAAAUACUCGAAGUCCAAGUAACAGUGUCUUUGUGUCCUAGUGGCCACCUGUGGAGAGAAAGGAGAACGAGAGUGAAUAAUUGGAGAACAGACUGUGUAACGUGAUACCUACCCAGAGAGCUGUAAACAGCCGAGCCGGUGAGGAAUACUCGAAGUCCAAGUAACAGUGUCUUUGUGUCCUAGCGACCACCUGUGGAGAGAAAGGAGAACGAGAGUGAAUAAUUGGAGAACAGACUGUGUAACGUGAUACCUACCCAGAGAGCUGUAAACAGCAGAGCCGGUGAGAAAUACUCGAAGUCCAAGUAACAGUGUCUUUGUGUCCUAGUGGCCACCUGUGGAGAGAAAGGAGAACGAGAGUGAAUAAUUGGAGAACAGACUGUGUAACGUGAUACCUACCCAGAGAGCUGUAAACAGCCGAGCCGUGACCACCUGUGGGGAGCAAGGAGAACGAGGGUGAACGUACGACGGGGAACGUGAAGGCACGUGGGGCGAGGACCCCCUGCCGAACAGAGGAAAGGUACGCAGACAGCGGAAAAUCUCCUUACCAGUCACACUGAAUUUGUUCUGCCUCCAGGAAGGAAGAAGGAGGGCGCCACGGAUAGCAGGGUCCAGGCCGGAGCCUGACGUUUCCCCUUUCCCCCGGAUUACGGUGGUUUGCACCCCUGUUGCCCUUGCCCCUGUCUGCCCGUGGCUGCAGUCCCCCUGGAGGGAGGAGAAGAAGCCCAUUAGUUUUAAUUCCCCCUUUCCCCAUUUCCCCAGUUCUUUUAAAUAUUUAAACCAAA